CAAAAUGUAGCUUAAAUAAAGCAUCUCGCUUACACCGAGAAGAUACCCGCAAAAUCCGAGUCAUUUUG
rnacentral:tRNA from 1 species